AUAUCUGGUAUAUCUACAAAAUCGACAAACAAUGAUCCGUGUAUUCAAGCCCAUGUUUGGUUUGCGCCUGGCUGGUGCUAUUGGCCAACAUAAUCCAAAAACAAUGAUGAACAUCAGAAAUUAUGGCAAGCCCGAGCGUUUUAUGUGGUGCCAAACGAAAGUCAGCAAAGUACCCAAAGCCAUUUUGGCGGACGGAAAAGAAAUGCCACUGAUUGGACUUGGAACUUGGUUGAGCCCCAAAGGUCAGGUGACUGAAGCUGUGAAAGUGGCCAUUGACGCUGGGUACCGGCACAUUGACUGUGCCCACGUCUACCAGAACGAAGAUGAGGUCGGUGCUGGCAUCGAAGCUAAGAUCAAGGAGGGAGUUGUGAAGCGAGAGGAGCUGUUCAUUACCAGCAAGCUGUGGAAUACUUUCCACCGUCCGGACUUGGUCCGCAACGCCUGUGAGAACACAUUGGAAGCGUUAAAAUUGAAGUACAUCGACUUGUACUUGAUCCACUGGCCAAUGGGCUACAAGGAGGGCUGCGACCUCUUCCCAGCCGAUAAGGAAGGCAAGACCUUGUUCUCGCCAGUCGACUAUGUAGAUACCUGGAAGGCAAUGGAGAAACUGGUGGAGGAUGGUCUCGUCAAGUCCAUUGGCGUCUCCAAUUUCAACAAGAAGCAGAUCCAGCGCGUCCUGGAUGUGGCCAAAAUCCCUCCGGCAACCAAUCAGAUUGAGUGCCACCCGUAUCUGACACAAAAGAAGCUCAUUGAUUUCUGUAAGUCUCGCGAUAUUACUAUUACCGCAUACAGUCCACUGGGAUCGCCCAACCGUCCCUGGGCCAAGUCUGGCGAUCCAGUGAUUCUAGAGGAGCCUAAGAUUAAGGAGAUUGCUGAAAAGAAGAAGAAGACACCUGGACAGAUUCUCAUCCGCUACCAGGUCCAGCGCGCAAACAUCGUUAUUCCCAAGUCAGUGACCAAGGAGCGCAUCGAGUCGAACUUCCAGGUCUUUGAUUUCGUUUUGACCCCUGAAGAAAUCGAAAUAAUCGAAAGCUUCGAUUGCAAUGGUCGUCUUGUGCCUUUGCUCAAAGAGGCUGGUUGUCAUAAAUACUACCCAUUUCACGACGAGUUUUAAGCGAAAUGAAACCAAUGUCAACAGAAAAAAAAAAAAAAAAAUACUUAUUAUGAAAUAAUACACAUUGAAACCAAAUAAUAUUGCAAGACUAACAACGAUCGACAUUCAAGGCAAAUCUUUGUAAACAGAUAUCUGGUCGUUUACGGACAUCCCCACCAUCCCUUUGAGAAUGAUGAAUACUAGUUGGAAAGAGGUGCCGACCCAGUGCUACACUUUUAAAAUUUAAUUUGUUACACAAACACCUAAUGUUAAACCGUAUGAAUAAAUAAUCACAAUUGGAACUAU
rnacentral:misc_RNA from 1 species